UACGGGGGGGGCAAGCGUUGUUCGGAAUUACUGGGCGUAAAGGGCUCGUAGGUGGCCAACUAAGUCAGACGUGAAAUCCCUCGGCUCAACCGGGGAACUGCGUCUGAUACUGGGUGGCUUGAAUCCGGGAGAGGGAUGCGGAAUUCCAGGUGUAGCGGUGAAAUGCGUAGAUAUUGGGAGGAACACCGGUGGCGAAGGCGGCUACCUGGACCGGUACUGACGCUGAGGUGCGAAAGCGUGGGGAGCAAACAGG
rnacentral:rRNA from 1 species